rnacentral:rRNA from 1 species
UACGUAGGGUGCAAGCGUUAAUCGGAAUUACUGGGCGUAAAGCGUGCGCAGGCGGUUUUGUAAGUCUGACGUGAAAUCCCCGGGCUCAACCUGGGAAUUGCGUUGGAGACUGCAAGGCUAGAAUCUGGCAGAGGGGGGUAGAAUUCCACGUGUAGCAGUGAAAUGCGUAGAGAUGUGGAGGAACACCGAUGGCGAAGGCAGCCCCCUGGGUCA